rnacentral:rRNA from 1 species
CCUACGGGAGUCAGCAGUGGGGGAUAUUGGACAAUGGGGGGAACCCUGAUCCAGCGACGCCGCGUGAGUGAAGAAGUAUCUCGGUAUGUAAAGCUCUAUCAGCAGGGAAGAAGAAAUGACGGUACCUGAGUAAGAAGCCCCGGCUAACUACGUGCCAGCAGCCGCGGUAAUACGUAGGGGGCAAGCGUUAUCCGGAUUUACUGGGUGUAAAGGGAGCGUAGACGGCAGUGCAAGUCUGGAGUGAAAGGCGGGGGCUCAACCCCCGGACUGCUCUGGAAACUGUACGGCUGGAGUGCAGGAGAGGUAAGUGGAAUUCCUAGUGUAGCGGUGAAAUGCGUAGAUAUUCGGAGGAACACCGGUGGCGAAGGCGGCCAACUGGGCUUUAACUGACGCUGAGGCUCGAAAGUGUGGGGAGCAAACAGGAUUAGAUACCCGGGUAGUC